rnacentral:rRNA from 1 species
UGCCUUGACACUAGGAGUCGAUGAAGGACGGGACUAACGCCGAUAUGCUUCGGGGAGCUGUAAGUAAGCUUUGAUCCGAAGAUUUCCGAAUGGGGAAACCCACCAUACGUAAUGGUAUGGUAUCCUUGCCUGAAUACAUAGGGUAAGGAAGACAGACCCAGGGAACUGAAACAUCUAAGUACCUGGAGGAAGAGAAAGCAAAUGCGAUUUCCUGAGUAGCGGCGAGCGAAACGGAACAUAGCCCAAACCAAGAGG